rnacentral:rRNA from 1 species
AAGGUGUAUAUCUAUUUUGCUGAGUUUAAAAAGCUCGUAGUUGGAUCUGCGUGUUCAGCAUCCGGUGCGGUCUUUGGCCGCUACUGGAGUGCGACACAUCGAAUACUGGUUUGCCGUUGAUGCUCUUCAUCGGGUGUCAGCGGUGGCUGGUGAGUUUACUUUGAACAAAUUAGAGUGCUCAACGCAGGCGUUUCGCUUGUAUAUUUCUGCAUGGAAUAAUAGAAUAGGACCUCGGUUCUAUUUUGUUGGUUUUCGGAAGUGAGGUAAUGAUUAAGAGGGACUGACGGGGGCAUUCGUACUGCGACGUGAGAGGUGAAAUUCUUGGAUCGUCGCAAGACGCACUACUG